rnacentral:rRNA from 1 species
AUCCAGACUCCUACGGGAGGCAGCAGUGGGGAAUAUUGGACAAUGGGGGGAACCCUGAUCCAGCGACGCCGCGUGAGUGAAGAAGUAUUUCGGUAUGUAAAGCUCUAUCAGCAGGGAAGAAAGAAAUGACGGUACCUGACUAAGAAGCCCCGGCUAACUACGUGCCAGCAGCCGCGGUAAUACGUAGGGAGCAAGCGUUGUCCGGAAUUACUGGGCGUAAAGGGCGCGUAGGUGGGCGCUUAAGUCAGGUGUGAAAACUCCGGGCUCAACCUGGAGACUGCACUUGAAACUGGGUGUCUUGAGGGCAGGAGAGGAAAGUGGAAUUCCUAGUGUAGCGGUGAAAUGCGUAGAUAUUAGGAGGAACACCAGUGGCGAAGGCGUCUUACUGGAUCGAAACUGACGUUGAGGCUCGAAAGCGUGGGGAGCAAACAGGAUUAGAUACCCCGGUA